AUCUCUUUAAUCGUCAUUGUAUCAAAUUAUCAAGAAGAGUGCGACUUUCGGUUAAAUCGAAGUUGUGUUCAAACUCCAUUUAUAUUCUCGAAGCUCCAUGUAUGAAGAUACAAUUAGCUUGUAGCUUUUCUCUUAUUCUUGGUACUGGUUUGAUGUCUCUUCGAGCUGUUUGGGCUUGAAGUUAUUUGGGCAUGUAUAUUACACAUGUUUUAGUUUCUUGAGCAUUUUUAGAGAAAAUCAAUUACAUUUUGAUUUAGAUUAUAGUAUAAAGAUUGCAAAAUUAUGUCUUUUUUACAAAAUUACAAACCAUGUUUUCUGUUAAAAUGAUAAAAUUGUGUAUGAAAUCAUGUUUUUUCUAUUAAAUGAGUAAACACUGCUUGUUUUUCCCACCAUGCAAAAACCUAAAAAAACAUGUUUUUUUUUUCUUCUCGUAAACCUUAAUUUCCCAUCAAGAUGUAAUAUCUUAAAACCAUAACAUGGUAAUUUUGAUAAAAAUUGUAUAAAAUCAUAUACUUUCAACUGAAAACCGGUUGGGAUUCGAACAUGGAAUAUUGGGUAAUUAACAAAACUGAUUAUACGGACAUCUUAUAAAAAAAUACGGGUAAUUUACGGAAGCCUUGUAUAUGGCUUUCUCCAAGAAUAAAACCCACCAUUUAUGCUAUCCCCUGUCAUCGGCAGCCACAGACCUAAACCCUAGAAUUCCCUUCCUCCUGAGUCUAAUAAGUUCCGAUCCAUCUCCGCCGAAACCAUGGUCAUCUAUGGUUGGACAGGCGUCUUCUGGGACAUGGAUGAUUUCACACUCCCUCCUGGUCUCGAUGUAGAUCAGUUUGUGAAGAAUGUCUGCUUAGCUAUAUCGAAUGAGGGUGUUCGUGGUGACGUGGAGUUCUUUGCUUAUAGUAGUUCGGACACCUUUGAUUAUGGUCGAUAUCUCGAGUCCAAGUCCUUUACUCCAGCUAAAGUUGUCAGUAAACGUUCAAGGUUAUAUCGUUUGUUACAUUGCAUGCUUAACUGGGUUCACCACCGUCAACAGUAUCGAGGGAAACAAAUGUGUUGGUAAUUGCAAAGGCUAUGCCAGGGGCAAGGCCGUCUUUUAGUACGUGCAAUUGGAGCGGUCGAACAGGAUCCAAAAUUUUAGAGGACCAUAAUUUUUUUAUUUUAUUAAUAGUUAUAAAUUAAAAUCAUAUAUUUAUUAAAAAUUAGAUAGCUAUAUUUAAAUUUAAUUUUCGUAUUUAUUAACCAAUAAAUAUAAAUUACAAUUUGAUUUUGUUUACAUAACCAACAAAAAUGCAAUAAGUCAGAAAAAAUUAACAUUUAUAUCAAUUAAUUUAUUUUGGAAAAUAAAAAAUAGCUGUUGGUGUUUGAUUUAAUAUUCAAUGUAAAUUUAAAAAGUUAAUAUUCUAAUUUUUUUUAUAUUUAGAAAACUAUUAUUAAUUAGUUAUUAUAAAUAAGGAGAAAAAUAUAUAAUUUUCAGCAAUUUUUACAAAAAAUAGUAAACACAAAGAAAAAUGACUAGUCUAAGCUCUAUCGAGAAGAAAAAAGAGGAAUCUUCAACUUCUUGUUUAAUCAAAUCAAGAAUCUACGGUUUUUGGUCUAACCACUAUCCAUGUUCUAUUGCUCUAUUAGUUUUCUUAUAGAUUAUAACUUAGGAUUGUGGAUAUAAAGAAAAUCAAACUGAAAUAUUCUUAGUCUAAAAUAGGUGUUUUUCAUAAGGUUUUAAUUAUAAAACCAAAAGAUGUUAGUAAAAUAUAUUAUAACACUAUUUUGCCACAAAAACAUAAAUUAUUUCAGGUUAAUAAAAUUAGUCUUUUUUUUUUUGAACAUAGUCUCUUUAGAGUUUGAGACGGUCCUGGUCAGGGGAAGAUAACAUUAACAUGACCAGUUUUCACAGUAGUUCCUGAGGGAUGCUAACCAGAAAGUUUUGAUUAUCCUGAGCCAAUUUUAGCUUGGUAUUGGUCAGACUUAUGUUCUGGAAGUACGUCCGUCCACCUUUCUUCUGUGAUCCUACUACUGAUUAUGAUUCCAGAAGCAGCUCACCAGAAACUGAUCGUGCAGACGUGCUCAAGGUGUGAAACUAUGCUGCUGGUUCCGCUACGAAACGAAGU